ACGAGGAGUGCAGAGGAGGUGCUGAUGAUUGCGGGGAGAGCUAUGAGAGCCCGAGAAAGAUGGGGAAACUGAAGCCCUAGAGGAAAAGAAGACUAAAUGUAUUACCAUCUGACCCGCUUCCUGGCUAGCCUGUUCACCUAUCUGCUGUUCUUCACUGAACAAGAGAAGGAAUCACAAUUGGUCCAUGACAGUCAUGGUCAUCUCAUUCCUCUUGCCAGUGGCAGGUGUAUGUGUGAGUUUGCAGCUUAAUCCUCCCCAAGGGAAUCCAAGGACUGCUGAAGAGGCAUGUCUGCACAUGUCACCUAGAACAUCUCCAGCCAUCAUGUGAUCCCUGGGGGAGGCAUUCCCAACUCUCUGAGAGAAGCACACCAGAAAGAUGGAAAGAAAGUGUCUGGCUCCAGGAUGAUGACAUGGAGCCACUGAAUUAACCGUCUUUGUGCUGCUCUAACCUUCAGAGUUCACCUUAACAUGAGAAAAUAAAACCCUUAUUGCUUA
rnacentral:lncRNA from 1 species